UACGGGGGGUGCGAGCGUUGUUCGGAAUUAUUGGGCGUAAAGCGCGUGCAGGCGGUCUUGUAAGUCUGAUGUGAAAGCCCCGGGCUCAACCCGGGAAGUGCACUGGAUACUGCAAGACUUGAGUUCGGGAGAGGAGAGUGGAAUUCCUGGAGUAGGGGUGAAAUCCGUAGAUAUCAGGAAGAACACCGGUGGCGAAGGCGGCUCUCUGGACCGAUACUGACGCUGAGAUGCGAAAGCGUGGGUAGCAAAC
rnacentral:rRNA from 1 species